rnacentral:rRNA from 1 species
CCUACGGGCGGCAGCAGUGAGGAAUAUUGGACAAUGGCCGGAAGGCUGAACCAGCCAUGCCGCGUGAAGGUCAGUGCCCUAUGGGCGUUAAACUUCUUUUGUGCGGGAGCAAUAUUGGUCACGUGUGGCCAGACGAGAGUACCGUACGAAUAAGCAUCGGCUAACUCCGUGCCAGCAGCCGCGGUAAUACGGGGGAUACAAGCGUUAUCCGGAUUUAUUGGGUUUAAAGGGUGCGUAGGCUGGGAGGUAAGUCAGCGGUGAAAUGCCCCCGCUCAACGGGGUGAAGUGCCAUUGAUACUGCCUCGCUGGAAUGCGGAUGCCGUGGGAGGAAUGGGUGGUGUAGCGGUGAAAUGCAUAGAUAUCACACAGAACACCGAUUGCGAAGGCAUCUCACGAAUCCGCGAUUGACGCUGAUGCACGAAAGCGUGGGGAUCAAACAGGAUUAGAUACCCCGGUAGUC